UAGGGAAUCUUCCGCAAUGGGCGAAAGCCUGACGGAGCAACGCCGCGUGAGUGAUGAAGGUCUUCGGAUCGUAAAACUCUGUUAUUAGGGAAGAACAAAUGUGUAAGUAACUAUGCACGUCUUGACGGUACCUAAUCAGAAAGCCACGGCUAACUACGUGCCAGCAGCCGCGGUAAUACGUAGGUGGCAAGCGUUAUCCGGAAUUAUUGGGCGUAAAGCGCGCGUAGGCGGUUUUUUAAGUCUGAUGUGAAAGCCCACGGCUCAACCAUGGAGGGUCAUUUGAAACUGGAGAACUUGAGUGCAGAAGAGGAAAGUGGAAUUCCAUGUGUAGCGGUGAAAUGCGCAGAGAUAUGGAGGAACACCAGUGGCGAAGGCGACUUUCUGGUCUGUAACUGACGCUGAUGUGCGAAAGCGUGGGGAUCAAACAGG
rnacentral:rRNA from 1 species